rnacentral:misc_RNA from 1 species
GUGCCCGUCCACCGAACGGUCGGCAGGCGAUCCGCGUCGGUCGCGCUGGGUGGUAUGGUUCCCCAGAGGCCGGUUCUUGUGCUGCCUACCCCUUCAGGGGAAGAGUUCCAAACUCGAUGUAAGCCUCCAUCCGGCGCCCUCCAAAGGGCGCGGGAGGACAACGGAGCACCCCCCGCGUUCCACCGAGCCUCCUCGGUCGCGUGGCCCGCGGGGACGUGCGAUGCUCUCGGACCCAGCGAACGCCGUGGGCGAGGACUCACGUCCCGGUCCCAAGUGAAGCAACGGUAUAACGCACGACGGCCGCUCCCGCUUCCCGACCGCCCCGGCGGCGCGGGGGCGAAGGCGCGGCGUCGCUGAGGAAUGCU